CAAAAUGUAGCUUAACUAGAGCAUCUCGCUUACACCGAGAAUGUGUCUGUGAAACUCAGAUCAUUUUGA
rnacentral:tRNA from 1 species